AGUGGCUCAUUCACCGACUUAUGUCAGCCCCUUCGGGACGUGCUACAUAAAAUUCGAAUGACGCACAACAAGGUGCCUGCCGUCCAACUUCUGAUAUCAGCGUAGCUAUAUCAACCAUCGGGCGAAACGUCGAGUUAGGCACCGCCUUAUUCCGUAACAAAGCCGGGUAAUUCCCGGCUUU
rnacentral:sRNA from 2 species